rnacentral:rRNA from 1 species
UACGAAGGGUGCAAGCGUUACUCGGAAUUACUGGGCGUAAAGCGUGCGUAGGUGGUUCGUUAAGUCUGAUGUGAAAGCCCUGGGCUCAACCUGGGAAUGGCAUUGGAAACUGGCGACCUAGAGUGCGGUAGAGGGUAGUGGAAUUCCCGGUGUAGCAGUGAAAUGCGUAGAGAUCGGGAGGAACAUCCGUGGCGAAGGCGACUACCUGGACCAGCACUGACACUGAGGCACGAAAGCGUGGGGAGCAAACGGG